AGGCUGCCGUGACUGUGUGGAACGUAGCUCAGUUGGCCGGGGCGGCCCUACGUGGGACCCGCCGUGUGGGCAACAGUUUCUGGCCAAGGCCCCACGUCGUGCACGCGGAAUUCUAAGAGGAAAAUAGAGACUACAUGAUGUCGGGUGCUCGUGCUCACUUCAAGGUUCUGUAUGAUAGCUUCGUGGUAUUUGGUGGCAAGUCUUUAAAUACCCUGGUCCCCAUGGGCCAGACUCCCUCCAGUGCCCUGGGCAGCCCCACGGCGAGUGCACAUGGAGACAUAGCUCGGCUAACAGGAGUCCGAGCCUUUGGUUCGCUUGCCAGUAACCAAAGCUGCUUAAUUGAA